rfam:Strongylocentrotus purpuratus Contig145669_fixed, whole genome shotgun sequence.
AGAGGCUACUUGCGGACCUUUCUGUGGCUGUCGUGUUAAGUGUGAUUCUAUGAAGACACUUCACACACAACCACAGGAAGUUUUGCACGGUAGCCAUG